rnacentral:rRNA from 1 species
UCGAGAAUUUUUCUCAAUGGGGGAAACCCUGAAGGAGCGACGCCGCGUGGAGGAUGAAGGUCUUCGGAUUGUAAACUCCUGUCAUUGGUGAACAAGAUUGCCGGUUAACUGCCGGUUAAUUUGAUAGUAGCCGAAGAGGAAGAGACGGCUAACUCUGUGCCAGCAGCCGCGGUAAUACAGAGGUCUCGAGCGUUGUUCGGAUUCAUUGGGCGUAAAGGGUGCGUAGGCGGCGUGGCAAGUCUGAUGUGAAAUCCCGGGGCUCAACCCCGGAACUGCAUUGGAUACUGCCAUGCUCGAGUACUGGAGAGGAGACUGGAAUUUACGGUGUAGCAGUGAAAUGCGUAGAGAUCGUAAGGAAGACCAGUGGCGAAGGCGAGUCUCUGGACAGUUACUGACGCUGAGGCACGAAGGCCAGGGGAGCAAACGG